rnacentral:pre_miRNA from 1 species
AAAGAUAGCAGUUUUGCACUGUUUAUAUACAACGUUUGAGUGUCCAUCUUAUUUGAAAUUUUUUUAUGAUUAGUAUUUUUGUUAUUAUUAGAUAAUAAAACAUGAGUAGUACUUUAUGUGUGUCUAAUUAUUAUUUUUUUUCAUGUUUUUUUUCAAAUAAGACGGAUGGUCAAAUGUUGGAUAUGGAAAUUCACAAAUGCAUUUAAA